rnacentral:rRNA from 1 species
UACGAGAGGCCCAAACGUUAUUCGGAUUUACUGGGCUUAAAGAGUUCGUAGGCGGUCUGGCAAGUGGGGUGUGAAAGCCCUCGGCUCAACCGAGGAAUUGCGCUCCAAACUGCCAGGCUCGAGGGAGAUAGAGGUGAGCGGAACUGAUGGUGGAGCGGUGAAAUGCGUUGAUAUCAUCAGGAACACCAGAGGCGAAGGCGGCUCACUGGGUCUUUUCUGACGCUGAGGAACGAAAGCUAGGGGAGCAAACGGG